rnacentral:rRNA from 1 species
AGUGAACGCUGGCGGUAGGCCUAACACAUGCAAGUCGAACGGCAGCACAGUAAGAGCUUGCUCUUACGGGUGGCGAGUGGCGGACGGGUGAGGAAUACAUCGGAAUCUACUUUUUCGUGGGGGAUAACGUAGGGAAACUUACGCUAAUACCGCAUACGACCUACGGGUGAAAGCAGGGGAUCUUCGGACCUUGCGCGAUUGAAUGAGCCGAUGUUGGAUUAGCUAGUUGGCGGGGUAAAGGCCAACCACGGCGACGAUCCGUAGCUGGUCUGAGAGGAUGAUCAGCCACAUGGGCACUGAGACACGGCCCAGACUCCUACGGGAGGCAGCAGUGGGGAAUAUUGGACAAAGGAGGCAAGCCUGAUCCAGCCAUACCGCGUGGGUGAAGAAGGAGUUCGGGUUGGAAAGCCAUUUUGUUGGGAAAGAAAAGCAGCAGGUUAAUACCCCGCUGUUCUGACGGUACCCAAAGAAUAAGCACCGGCUAACUUCGUG